UCAGUACUACAUUCUGAAGGUGCAUUUUAAGUGUUAAUUAGUGAGAAACAUCUUUCGGCGCUUUAUAAAAUUUUAGUCAAAAGUUUAAAAAUCGUUUACUAUUAUGUCACCGGAGGAAUACCCGACUUUCUCAACACCCUCAAGCUUCUGUAAUCCUCGAACUCGGCGAAUCAGAUCCAGAACCUGCUGGUUGAGUGGAUCAAGCAACGCUCACCAAGAUGCACCUCAGCGAGGAAUUCCUGUCCCGGGUACUGGUUUAGUGGUUGUGCCGUUGCACAAUUCGAUGCAGCAGUCGCCGGUGGAGAGUGAAAUGGAGAAUGCCGUUCCGACGCUGAAAUCGUUGACCGACCGUGUUCGGCCCGUUGAUGACGAGUAUUUUUCGAGUUCAACGGCGGCGGUAGCUGGUAGGUUGUGAGUUGUAGAACAAUUGCUAAUGUUUAGUUGCUCACUUACUCUCUCUCUCUCUUCCACCCUUUGGAACCAUAGGCUCAUUGAUUUGCGAACACUAAAUCAAAGUGAAAACCAACAGCAACAACAGAAGCACCCAUCCGGGAGUGGCGACAGAUGCCUAGAUCGUCGAGGUUGUGCCGCUGGAGAUCGACCGCACGAGCAAGGCUCGAUGGAAACUGGUCUAGUCAGAGUGCGGACAGUGAGCACAUCCGACGCUGCUGCUGAGUUGGGUGUUCUGAUACAAGGCGGUGAAGGACUGGCAGAAGGUGACGAUUGGACGAACCAGAAGAUCCAAGGAACAGCUGCGAGCCAACGGAAACAUUGCAAUCCAGCAAUCUCAAGAGGGCUACCUGAACGCCGGAGGGACGCUAGUCUCUGUGUCGGUGGCAGAUGUCCAGAGAAGUCAACGAAGUGGAGAUGGCCAGCGUUGCGCAGCAGAUUCAACUGGGGUAGUCCGAAGAUCCCGAACAGCAUCGCCAUGCCGAGAGCGCUGGCGACCAGAGGCUCACGUCAGCUGAUGACAUCAUUAAAUGAACGAAUCAGGUACAGUUUCAGUUUUUUUGAUUUUUUUACUCAUAGUUUCUUUUUACAUGUUAUAACCGAGUUUUAAAGUGAAUCAAAUCAAAUUCCCACCCAAAUCACGAAAGAGUAUGAUGGUUCUCCGUUGAAUCUAGAUUUUGAUGUUAUUUUCUAAGCCUUCUGCUUGUUUCGAAUGAUUUUCUUUUAUUUUUUAGGGUCAGCUUUGAGUUCCAUACCAUAACAAUAUUGGAUAUUCAAAUUUGAUCAAAAAGAUAGCUAAAGGAUAUCGUUCAAAACAAACGGCAUACAAAUGCGAUUGAAAUUUAUAUCAGAUUCUAGAUUCAACGGAGUAAAACAUUUUUUUGGUUUGGUAAAUUUACGUAGGUUUCAUCGGAAAUUUACAAGAUUUUAAGCACAGUUUGUUCGGCAGGUUUACAUCGGAUGGCAUUUAAAUUUAAAAUGAAUUUGAUGUAAAUUCGCAUCAUUAAAGACGUGCACUUUUGGUACAUCAUAAAUGAUGUAAAUUUACCGAAUUAUUUUUUUCUGUGUAC